UACGGAGGGUGCGAGCGUUGUCCGGAAUCACUGGGCGUAAAGGGCGCGCAGGCGGCUCUGAAAGUCAGAUGUGAAAGUCCUGGGCUCAACCUGGGAACUGCGCUUGAUACGGCAGAGCUAGAGGAUGGAAGAGGCUCGCGGAAUUCCCAGUGUAGAGGUGAAAUUCGUAGAUAUUGGGAAGAACACCGGUGGCGAAGGCGGCGAGCUGGUCCAUUACUGACGCUGAGGCGCGACAGCGUGGGGAGCAAACAGG
rnacentral:rRNA from 1 species